GACGAACGCUGGCGGCGUGCCUAAUACAUGCAAGUUGAGCGAUGAAGAUUGGUGCUUGCACCAAUUUGAAGAGCAGCGAACGGGUGAGUAACGCGUGGGGAAUCUGCCUUUGAGCGGGGGACAACAUUUGGAAACGAAUGCUAAUACCGCAUAACAACUUUAAACAUAAGUUUUAAGUUUGAAAGAUGCAAUUGCAUCACUCAAAGAUGAUCCCGCGUUGUAUUAGCUAGUUGGUGAGGUAAAGGCUCACCAAGGCGAUGAUACAUAGCCGACCUGAGAGGGUGAUCGGCCACAUUGGGACGGAGACACGGCCCAAACUCCUACGGGAGGCAGCAGUAGGGAAUCUUCGGCAAUGGACGAAAGUCUGACCGAGCAACGCCGCGUGAGUGAAGAAGGUUGUCGGAUCGUAAAACUCUGUUGGUAGAGAAGAACGUUGGUGAGAGUGGAAAGCUCAUCAAGUGACGGUAACUACCCAGAAAGGGACGGCUAACUACGUG
rnacentral:rRNA from 1 species